CGAGGCAUGUAGAGGGGAUGAUUUUAACGGCAGUUUAACACCGUUUUUUUUUUAUCGGUGUUAUUUGGAAAAGCGUAUCGGUGACCCUCACGAGCAUUUUUUAACGGCAGUUUUGUCGGAAAAGAUUAUCGUGUUCCAAUCCAAACCUCCUUACUUCUGUUUCAGUUGACAGAUCCACACUCUCAGUUCUUCCUCUCCUACCCCAUUUAACUCUCUCCCUAGCGUAUCUGAAUCUGGUGCCCAAAUCAAUAUUCAUGGCGUCUUCCUCGGGUACUAAAAAGCCAAUGGGGCUCUUAGCGAAUGCCCUGAAACGAAAAGACAGCUUCAUCCAGUUCUUUGCAAUGGGUGGAAUCUUACUUUUGAGCAUGAGAUCUUUAGGUCAAAAAUACCGUCUCCAUGGCCUCCAAGAAGAUAACUAUGAUCUUAGGGAGGAGCACGAAAAACUCACUGAGAAAAUGAAGAAUAUUAAGCGUAGUCUUCUUGAUGAAGCAGCUCUUGAUUCUACUGGUGUACUAGCUUCCCGACUUCGAUUACUUUUCGGAAACGAUGACAAAUGAUUUCAGUUAUUUGGUCAUUUCAUUUGGGGAACGAACCUAAUGUUUCAUUAUAUUGACCGUGUAGGCGAGACAAUAGAGGUAUAUAGGAGGAGAGCUGAUUUCGGAAAUUGCUCGCAAGAGAAUCAAACAAACAAGAAUUUACUAAAAGAAGGCAGUAAUGAAUAGAUUAUUUAUGACAAAUUUUUACAUGUUUUCUCGAAUAGCAAAAUAUGGUGUGUGACAUAACAUGCCUCCUCUCUUCAAUUGUUCUUUGUACAAUAAUCUACAUCGUAGGAAAUAAAUAUAUAACUUAAAGUUGGUGAGUUCAUCUUAUAUGAAUUUGAAAGUCAUUCUCAGCAUUUGCUGCUCCAUGAUCUAUGCCUCAACUUAGGCUUUUGCUUAGCAGUUAAACAUCCGAAUGUUUAUUUCAUGCUCUCUGUAUGUAUUUCUGAUGAUCUCUGUAUGUCUUUGAAAUGGGGAGAGAAACAAACUCAAGAAAGUAAUCAAUCUAUUCCUUUGAGGUUAGCAUCAAAGGAAAAGAAUCAGGUUGUUAUUGUUAUCUCUAUAUCAGAAUUUCUCUUCAUUUAUACAUGAUAAGUAUUUAAGUCAGACUACGAAAUUCUCUGACCUCUAAUAUCUUUAUUUGAAUUA